ACCAGUUCCCACAACACAGCUGGCCAAGAUUUCCAAACUGCUUUUAACACUGGAAAAAGGACAUCUUUCCCAGAUCCAGGGGAAAUCACUGGAUGAGAUCGAAAUUGAAGAUGAAAUUGCAUUAAGUGAUGCUGAAACAAAGGACAGUGAGAGUGAAUCAGAUGAUGACACAGCACUCACAAUGUCAGCGUGUGGCACCAGUGAGCCUGUACAUGCAGUAGCUGAUUCCACAAACACAGCGCAGCUACAAGACGCUGUAGAUUGUGCAGAUGAAGAACCACUCAUAAUGCCUGCAGCAAGUGAGACUGCUGCUCCCUCUGAAGAUAAAAAUGCUGCUCAAUCCCACAAUUCCCGAAGAGCUCCCAAAACAUGUGGUCCAAGGCUGAGGUUGCUGCAGUGAUGAGGCAUUUUAAAGACCACAUAAGCGAAGGAAA